AUUGAACGCUGGCGGCAGGCCUAACACAUGCAAGUCGAGCGGAUGAAGGGAGCUUGCUCCUGGAUUCAGCGGCGGACGGGUGAGUAAUGCCUAGGAAUCUGCCUGGUAGUGGGGGAUAACGUCCGGAAACGGGCGCUAAUACCGCAUACGUCCUGAGGGAGAAAGUGGGGGAUCUUCGGACCUCACGCUAUCAGAUGAGCCUAGGUCGGAUUAGCUAGUUGGUGGGGUAAAGGCCUACCAAGGCGACGAUCCGUAACUGGUCUGAGAGGAUGAUCAGUCACACUGGAACUGAGACACGGUCCAGACUCCUACGGGAGGCAGCAUUGGGGAAUAUGGGACAUUGGGCGAAAGCCUGAUCCAGCCAUGCCGCUUGUGUGAAGAAGGUCUUCGGAUUGUAAAGCACUUUAAGUUGGGAGGAAGGGCAGUAAGUUAAUACCUUGCUGUUUUGACGUUACCAACAGAAUAAGCACCGGCUAACUUCGUG
rnacentral:rRNA from 1 species